GUAGGUGGCAAGCGUUGUCCGGAAUUAUUGGGCGUAAAGCGCGCGCAGGCGGUCCUUUAAGUCUGAUGUGAAAGCCCACGGGCUCAACCGUGGAGGGUCAUUGGAAACUGGGGGACUUGAGUACAGAAGAGGAAAGCGGAAUUCCAAGUGUAGCGGUGAAAUGCGUAGAGAUUUGGAGGAACACCAGUGGCGAAGGCGGCUUUCUGGUCUGUAACUGACGCUGAGGCGCGAAAGCGUGGGGAGCAAACAGGAUUAGAUACCCUGGUAGUCCACGCCGUAAACGAUGAGUGCUAAGUGUUAGGGGGUUUCCGCCCCUUAGUGCUGCAGCUAACGCAUUAAGCACUCCGCCUGGGGAGUACGGCCGCAAAGGCUG
rnacentral:rRNA from 1 species